GGGUUGUGAGGUUAAGCGACUAAGCGUACACGGUGGAUGCCCUGGCAGUCAGAGGCGAUGAAGGGCGUACUAAUCUGCGAUAAGCGCCGGUAAGGUGAUAUGAACCGUUAUAACCGGCGAUACCCGAAUGGGGAAACCCAGUGUGAUUCGUCACACUAUCAUUAACUGAAUCCAUAGGUUAAUGAGGCGAACCGGGGGAACUGAAACAUCUAAGUACCCCGAGGAAAAGAAAUCAACCGAGAUUCCCCCAGUAGCGGCGAGCGAACGGGGAGGAGCCCAGAGCCUGAAUCAGCAUGUGUGUUAGUGGAAGCGUCUGGAAAGGCGCGCGAUACAGGGUGACAGCCCCGUACACAAAAGCGCAUGUGCUGUGAGCUCGAUGAGUAGGGCGGGACACGUGGUAUCCUGUCUGAAUAUGGGGGGACCAUCCUCCAAGGCUAAAUACUCCUGACUGACCGAUAGUGAACCAGUACCGUGAGGGAAAGGCGAAAAGAACCCCGGCGAGGGGAGUGAAAAAGAACCUGAAACCGUGUACGUACAAGCAGUGGGAGCACAGGUUUACCUGUGUGACUGCGUACCUUUUGUAUAAUGGGUCAGCGACUUAUAUUCUGUAGCAAGGUUAACCGAAUAGGGGAGCCGGAGGGAAACCGAGUCUUAAUUGGGCGUUAAGUUGCAGGGUAUAGACCCGAAACCCGGUGAUCUAGCCAUGGGCAGGUUGAAGGUUGGGUAACACUAACUGGAGGACCGAACCGACUAAUGUUGAAAAAUUAGCGGAUGACCUGUGGCUGGGGGUGAAAGGCCAAUCAAACCGGGAGAUAGCUGGUUCUCCCCGAAAGCUAUUUAGGUAGCGCCUCGUGAAUUCAUCUCCGGGGGUAGAGCACUGUUUCGGCUAGGGGGCCAUCCCGGCUUACCAACCCGAUGCAAACUGCGAAUACCGGAGAAUGUUAUCACGGGAGACACACGGCGGGUGCUAACGUCCGUCGUGAAGAGGGAAACAACCCAGACCGCCAGCUAAGGUCCCAAAGUCAUGGUUAAGUGGGAAACGAUGUGGGAAGGCCCAGACAGCCAGGAUGUUGGCUUAGAAGCAGCCAUCAUUUAAAGAAAGCGUAAUAGCUCACUGGUCGAGUCGGCCUGCGCGGAAGAUGUAACGGGGCUAAACCAUGCACCGAAGCUGCGGCAG
rnacentral:rRNA from 1 species